CGCGAAGAACCUUACCUGGGUUUGACAUGCACAGGACGUGUCUAGAGAUAGGCAUUCCCUUGUGGCCUGUGUGCAGGUGGUGCAUGGCUGUCGUCAGCUCGUGUCGUGAGAUGUUGGGUUAAGUCCCGCAACGAGCGCAACCCUUGUCUCAUGUUGCCAGCGAGUAAUGUCGGGAACUCGGACAAAACUGCCUCUGUAAGGAGGAGGAAGGUGGGGAUGACGUCAAGUCAUCAUGCCCCUUACGCCCUGGGCUGCACACAUGCUACAAUGGCCGGUACAAAGGGUUGCUAACCCGCGAGGGUAUGCUAAUCUCAAAAAACCGGUCUCAGUUCGGAUUGAGGUCUGCAACUCGACCUCAUGAAGUCGGAAUCGCUAGUAAACGCCGGUCAGCAAUGCGGCGUUGAAUACGUUCCCGGGCCUUGUACACACC
rnacentral:rRNA from 1 species